GCCGAGGUCUAUCCCGAUGGACCCCUCUCUGUAGGGUCUUAUCGUUGGAAACGCCUCGAACAUAAACAUCUGUGGUAACCCAUAGUCCCAUAGUUGUUACAAUCAACCUUGUGGGCAAAAAAACUGCAGGACAACC